CUGGUUGAUCCUGCCAGUAGUCAUAUGCUUGUCUCAAAGAUUAAGCCAUGCAUGUCUAAGUCCAAGCUGUGUUCACACGGCGAGACCGCGGACGGCUCAUUAAAUCAGUCGUGGUCCAAAUGGGCCAGUGCAAAUCCUACUUGGAUAACUGUGGUAAUUCCAGAGCUAAUACAUGCAACUGAUAUCCCGAAGGCGGUGUUUGUGCUUGCUUGCCUUGCGCUUUCAUUGCUCUGACGGAUGCUUUUAUUAGACCAAGCCGCUGAGGACUUGGAGGCAACUCCUUGUUCGACUCGUACAAUGGUGACUCUGGAUAACCAAUUCUGACAAGCGCACGUACUUCUCUUACGAGCGAGACGGCGCUGCCACUUUCGAGUGUCUGCCUUAUCAGCUAUCAACCGUUCGUUAUGCGCGACCGAUGGCUUUGACGGGUAACGGGGAAUCAGGGUUCGAUUCCGGAGAGGCAGCCUGAGAGACGGCUACCACGUCCAAGGACGGCAGCAGGCACGCAAAUUACCCAAUCCCAGCAAAUGGGGGAGGUAGUGACGAAAUCUAACGAUGCGGGCGCCCUUUCUGGGGCCCCGCAAUCGGAAUGGGCACUUUCUAAACAACCUGUUGAGAACCUACUGAAGGGCAAGUCUGGUGCCAGCAGCCGCGGUAAUUCCAGCUUCAGCAGCAUCUAUUAAAGUUGCUGCGGUUAAAAGGCUCGCAGUUGAAUGUCUGUAUCGAGCGCAGGUCAGGUGGACGUU
rnacentral:rRNA from 1 species